CUUGCAGGGCCUCGGAGGCUGCUGUGGUUAUGAGGGCAUCUCUGACUCCCCUUACUCUGGCCUCCUCUCUCCGCCACAGAGCUCCCCCAUCCAGGAAUCCACUGCUCCCGAGCUGCCUUCGGAGACCCAGGAGACCCCAGGCCCCGCCCUGUGCAGCCCUCUGAGGAAGUCACCUCUGACCCUCGAAGAUUUCAAGUUCCUGGCGGUGCUGGGCCGGGGUCAUUUUGGGAAGGUGAGGUGGAGGGCAGGGAAUUGGGAGACCCCCCAGGUCCCUGGCUGGCCGCUAAAACCACCCCUGCCCACUGUGGUUCCAGGUGCUCCUCUCCGAAUUCCGGCCCAGUGGGGAGCUGUUCGCCAUCAAGG
rnacentral:lncRNA from 1 species